UUUCAAUGCAAAAAAAUUUACACAAAAUGAAACCAGCAGCCAGAUAAACUGAUAUUUAUAAGUCAUCAUAAAUUGACCCAUGAGCAAGUAAGAUGCUAAAAAUACUUAGAACAUGUAGAACGAACAUAUUUAGAAAAUGCCACCUCUUCUUCGCUGCUUCUUCUUCAUUCAUAUAAGAGUAGUCAUGGGUUCCUGACAAAACAAAACUCGCCUACACAUAAAUAAGAAGAUGUGGUAUGAGUGUCAAUGAGACAAACCCUCCAUCCAAAUCACAAUGUAUAAAAAAGUACGGCCUUCAACACUGAGCAUUAGCUCACACCGAACAGUAAGCUAUAAAUGGCCCCAAAAUUACCAUUGUAAACAUACACAAUUUAAACAGGAAAACCAACGGUCUAAUCUAUUUGCUAAACAAGAAAAAUCUAUGCAAGAAACCAACAAAUGACAACCACUGAACAACAGGCUCAGGUGCAUGUAAUAAAUGCAGUUGGUUUGCUGCUUUAACUGGUGCCAACCUUCACCCAAGCCCGAGACAUUGGGGUAACAAUACAACAUUGUAGUAUGAUAAUAUAAAAACCGACCACUUUAUAUGGACCAC
rnacentral:lncRNA from 1 species